rnacentral:snRNA from 1 species
GUGGCAGCACAUUUACUAAGAUAUGACCGAUACAGAGAACAUCUGCACAGCCCCUACGUAGGGAGGACAUGCAUAUUUGUUAAUGUGCUGUAUUU